rnacentral:misc_RNA from 1 species
UUCUUAUGCUGAUUAUGCAUCAAUGUUCUUCCUUAUUAAAAAAUGUUAACUUAUUCCAAUAUGUUUGAUAACAUUCUUUUUAAUAAUUGAUUAUUUAUACACAAUUUCCUCCGAUUUAUCAAUAGUAUACAAUAUCAAAUCGUGUGCGAACCCAAAUUCGUACUAUUAAUCCAGCUGAUUAUAACAUAUAUAACAGCUGUCUGCUGUACAAAUUUCGUCUAUACAGUCCCAAUUCUAGGGCGCCCGGUUUAAUUAUUUGAGGUUAUAUUUGUGUUGACCUAGUGUGUUUUAAAUCUUCUCACACUUUAGUAAAUUUUCAUUUAAAUUAUAUGAAAUUGAUUGUGAACUCACACAUUGGUGUAUCUGAGUGUUUUUAAAGUAAUUGUACAGUUAAAUUGUUAGCCUAAAAAGAGGAAGUGAUUUAAUUGGUGGUAUCUUUCAUGCAGUCAAAUGUCUUACUUCUUAGACUAUUUAACUCCAAGGUUAUUAAAAGAUGCAGACAACUUGGUAGAACUAUGUUUAGCAAGUAUUUAUUGUUGACAAAUGUUGGAAUUUCAAUAUCAUUGUCUGGUGCCGGGGAUAUUAUUGAACAACACUAUGAAAUUGUUACAAAACAAAAAGAAAAGUGGGAUAGGGUAAGAACUCAUCACAUGUCUAUAUCAGGUAUGACUGUUGGUAUUGUUUGCCAUACUUGGUAUAAAUAUUUGGACAGAGCUUUGCCAGGCAGGACUUUGACUAUUGUUAUGAAAAAGGUUAUCAUAGAUCAAAUUGUUUGUUCGCCAAUUUGCAUCUCAGUGUUUUUUCUGACCUUGAGCUACUUAGAGCAUUUACCAUGGGAAGUCACUAAAAAGGAAAUUAUUACAAAAGGAAAGAGGUUGUACAUUGCAGAAUGGGUUGUGUGGCCGCCAGCACAAGUUGUAAACUUCUAUUUUUUGCCAACAAGAUUCAGAGUUUUAUAUGACAACACAAUAUCAUUAGGGUAUGAUGUUUACACAUCUUAUGUGAGACAUGAUAACUCAGAUGAAGAGAAACAAACCAACUUAGCUGUUAUAAAUGAAGAUUCCAGAGACACUAAAGAGAAUUCAUAAAAUCCAAAGCUUCUAUCACGAGUUGCAAUAUUUUUCUUUACUAUGCGCUUACAUUUUUCAUCUGGUGAAUCUCCCAAAAUUUUCAAUGGUUGACAAGUUGUGAUUUAAAGUCCUACUGUAAAAUCUUCCUCAGCGUCACAGCCAAGUUUCAAGUUUCUUUUUAUGAUGUACAAACAGUGGGUUUCAGCUCUUAAGUUAUUGAGAGAAAAAAAAUAUAACAAUGUAAUGAAAAUAAUAUUAUUAUACAGUAUUUAGUUUUAUUUACCAAAACAGGAUACGUUCUUUACUGAAAAAGAGGAAAAUUUUAG